rnacentral:rRNA from 1 species
UACGUAAGGGGCAAGCGUUGUCCGGAAUUAUUGGGCGUAAAGGGCUCGUAGGCGGUUUGUCGCGUCGGGAGUGAAAACACCGGGCUUACGUCGGUGCUUGCUUUCGAUACGGGCAGACUAGAGGCAUGCAGGGGAGAACGGAAUUCCUGGUGUAGCGGUGAAAUGCGCAGAUAUUAGGAAGAACACCGGUGGCGAAGGCGGCUCUCUGGAACGGUACUGACGCUGAGACGCGAAAGCGUGGGGAGCGAACAGG